AUUGAACGCUGGCGGCAGGCCUAACACAUGCAAGUCGAGCGGCAGCGGGAAAGUAGCUUGCUACUUUUGCCGGCGAGCGGCGGACGGGUGAGUAAUGCCUGGGAAAUUGCCCAGUCGAGGGGGAUAACAGUUGGAAACGACUGCUAAUACCGCAUACGCCCUACGGGGGAAAGCAGGGGACCUUCGGGCCUUGCGCGAUUGGAUAUGCCCAGGUGGGAUUAGCUAGUUGGUGAGGUAAUGGCUCACCAAGGCGACGAUCCCUAGCUGGUCUGAGGGGAUGAUCAGCCACACUGGAAAUGAGACACGGUCCAGCAUCCUACGGGAGGCAGCAGUGGGGAAUAUUGCACAAUGGGGGAAACCCGGAUGCAGCCAUGCCGCGUGUGUGAAGAAGGCCUUCGGGUUGUAAAGCACUUUCAGCGAGGAGGAAAGGUUGUUGGCUAAUAUCCAACAGCUGUGACGUUACUCGCAGAAGAAGCACCGGCUAACUCCGUGCCAGCAGCCGCCGUAAGAC
rnacentral:rRNA from 1 species